UACGAAGGGGGCUAGCGUUGCUCGGAAUUACUGGGCGUAAAGGGCGCGUAGGCGGACAUUUAAGUCAGGGGUGAAAUCCCAGAGCUCAACUCUGGAACUGCCUUUGAUACUGGGUGUCUUGAGUGUGAGAGAGGUAUGUGGAACUCCGAGUGUAGAGGUGAAAUUCGUAGAUAUUCGGAAGAACACCAGUGGCGAAGGCGACAUACUGGCUCAUUACUGACGCUGAGGCUCGAAAGCGUGGGGAGCAAACAGG
rnacentral:rRNA from 1 species